UUAAAGAGGGCACAAGCACACAUGAACUCAUUUUGUUAGCAAAAUUCAAUUCGAAUUACACCAAAUGGCAAAAGGCGCCCAGAGAAUAUAAACACAGAGAGUCUUGCAUGAAUGCUGAAUCUGCAGUAAGACACAUCUGAACCCAGUGAUCGCGUCACAUCCGGCCGCUGAAAUGCUUUCGUCUAAUGGAUUUAUGAAGGCAGUAUGUCCUUCACUGCUUGUGAUUUCCGUGCCGUGACCAUUGCUGAAAGAUGACGUUGCAGCUGAGCGUGAAAUGCAUGUUUCUGGACAACGUUUUCAACUUUUGAUCUUAAUUUCUCGUGAGAAGUUAGUAUUGUAGUUGCACGAGGAGUGAUCGAGCUUUCUGACACAGCUGGUCUGUCGAGCCUCAGUAUCACAUCAGAACAGUUCAUCCAGUGUUUGGUUGCCAUCUGUCCAGUGUGUUUUUGAGACGCUGAGAUCAGAUCCAGCAUCCCACACCCUACAGAGGACAAAUGAUGGGAAGAUGGAUGGAUGGAAGAUAUUUAAUAAUUCCUUCAGACCAAUCCAAUCUCAGCGAGUGCACAGAAUGAGAUUGUCUCAUCCGUCACGCCUGUGCUUCAGCGCCGUAAUGCACACGGACUGUCGGCUCAAUCAUCAGCAGACCUGGCAAAAACAGCCCUGAGCCAGACGUUCAUCCUAAACCCAAACUCACUGUGACUGUAAAUAUUCUGACUGUAAUUAAGAGAAGCUCCGCCUUGAUGCAGUGAUGGACAGGUGUGCAGUUCAUACUGUCACGUUGGCUUCUCUAAGCCACUGAAUUCUGUUACAUUCUUCCUGAAAUAUCAUGAAAAUAUAACUUAUAAUUAAAGUGUAAAGACUUUGGAACAAUAGUGUUGCUGCCCUUACUGCAUUUACAAAUGAAAUCGUAACGCGUUCAGUUCGAUAUAUAACGCUAGCAGUACUGUAGUGUUGGAAAUGGCAAAGGAAAAUUACAUAAAUGAAUUCUUCUCAAUUUUGUACAUAUUUAUUCCCAUUAUGUCUCAUAGCUAUAGGAAAUGUAAAUCCAAAUACAGGAAUACAUUGACAUUUUACAUUUUUCAUUUCAAAUUGAAUUCAGUUAAACGCUUCCAUCAUUUUCAAGGGAAACAUUUCACAAAAAGAAGCUUGUUAGUUUCAAAAUGAUAAAACUAUACAAAUAGUGUUAAAAAUGAAGAUAUUAGAGACUCGACCGUGAGUUUGCGGUGGAUCUGUUUGGGUCGAUUGAGCUUUAAAGGGAUCAUGAACUGCCUCUGUUUGUUAUUUUGUACUGUUCUGUGAGGUCCACUUAUAAUGUUAUCAAGAUUUUUACACCAAAAAAACAUAAUAAUUUAGAAGUGAUAGGCUAUUUGCUGUCUCAUCAGAAAGCUGUUUGAGUAGGUGUGGUGUGGAGGACUGUAGAGUAAACACCCACUGCUGUGAUUGGCUAAUAGUUGUGUGUGAUUGACAGUCUACAUUCCUCACAGAUGGAUGCUGCUGUGAUUUAGGUUAAAAACGUAUAAAUACUCAGCUCAUGUAAAACGAUCUGUAAUAAUAAACAAAGCAAUAAUGAUCACAUAAUGAAAACAGUUACUCACAGUUGUGUUGCGACAUUACUGUCGGAUCCAAUAUAAUCGCAAUAUAGUCUUUUAGUUUCAAACUUUCUGAAAAUCCCGUGUUGAAUUGUGCCUUGUUUGUAAACGAAUCUUCAAAUCUAGUUUGAAUCGAAACUAAAAUGAAGUGAACAAAGGACAGAGUUCUCACUGAUGCGGUCUGGAUCUUCAUUAAAAAUAAAGUUAAUUCACUCUUUCCUAAUGUUGGGAUCAGAAGGAAGACAAAGCAAACUGUUUUUCCCCAGCUUGGCACCGCACAGCGUCUUGUUGUCUUCAGAGCAUCAUUAUCUUUUGGUUUCCCUCUCUCGUAAACACUACAUAUGCAAAUCAGUGGGCGGG